CGCCAUUUAAAACAAUCCUCACAUUGAACCCAUUGAACUUUUUGGCCCAAAUUAUCAGUUGCAAAAAUUGUGGCCUUUCCAAGUAUUGGUGCAUCCUCAUACUCCUCAAACUCAAAUCCCUCAAUCACAACGACACUAGGAACAUGGUCGGGAGGAGGACGGAGCAGUCCUUGUGCUUCUUCCCAUGUUAGCUUCAGUUCUAUCAUGUCUUCAUUUUCAAUUCUCAAGCGCUUACUCUUUGAACCCAAUGUGCUGCUUUUCCUCUUUUUGAUUGAAGAUUUUCCUUCAAGAACUUCUUUUGCUAUGUAACCGGACUUGUCAACUUUAGACCAAGAACUAGAAUCAGCCAAUUCAAAA
rnacentral:misc_RNA from 1 species